rnacentral:misc_RNA from 1 species
GAUGAAGAACGAAGCGAAAUGCGAUACUUGGUGUGAAUUGCAGAAUCCCGUGAACCAUCGAGUCUUUGAACGCAAGUUGCGCCCGAAGCCAUCAGGUUGAGGGCACGUCUGCCUGGGCGUCACAUAUCGUUGCCCAAUGCCUAUUGCAGUGCAAUAGGAAUUUCUAGGGCGAAUGAUGGCUUCCCGUGAGCGUUGUUGCCUCGCGGUUGGUUGAAAAUCGAGUCCUUGGUAGGGUGUGCCAUGGUAGAUGGUGGUCGAGUUAGAACGAUACCGAUCAUGUGCAUGCUCCCCAAAAUAUGGCCUCUAUGACCCACACGCGUCUUUUGACGCUCAUGACGAGACCUCAGGUCAGGGGGGGCUACCCGCUGAAUUUAAGCAUAUCAAUAAGCGGAGGA